CACUUCCUUGCAAUAUUUUUCAAUCAAUUUAUUCCCGUUCUUUUUAACGGACUGUACGAUGAAGUUUUAUGAUGUUCAUCUCCGCAGUGGAGAAAGAGAAGGUUUUCUGUUCUCUGGGUAACAAUUCAUCUGCGAUAUCAUCGUACCAUAAAAUGCGAAAAACAGGUCCUGGGACUCUUCCGGUUAACCGCGAUUAUACUUACUCCAAAUUCCAAAUUAACAAAGCGUGCUGUGCUGCCGGAGCUGCCUCUAAAACUCAAAUUGCCACUUAUUUCGAAAAGUUGGUCUACACUACAGGGUCUACAGUUCUUUUCGGAAUUAGAAGACAAUUUUGGGCAGUUUUUUUUAUUUUUCUUUUUAACAACACAACGCAGAGAUGUCCGCGAUGGAGCAAAUGAAUUACAAACAGAAGGCAAUUUGGAAAGUUUUGGAAGAGGAGAUUGGUGGUGAGAUUCCUGGUUAUCUGAAGAAAAUGUUCAAUCAUUUCAAUCACACAAGUAUUCGAGGGCUGUCUCUUUUUAAAAUCCCGUUGGACAUGCAUAAAUUGGAAGAAUAUAUGAAGAAAAUGGAACUUUCUUCUUACAACGAUAUAGUUAAUGAAAGGCCAGUUAAGGAAAAGCCAGAGGAUUUUUAUUUCACCAGGCCAGAGUGUCAUAUAUCCAGCUUUGUAAACUGCGCGAAAGAUAAUACAGAGAAAUUAAUUGAGAAGUACGCUGCAGAAGUUAGAGCUAUUGAAUCGAUGGCCAUGAAGAAAGUCUCCAUUACAACUCAAGGAGCCAAUGCCGGACUCGUCUGAUAUCUAAAUUACUACAAAAAUUCAGUUGUAAUUUUGGGAUCUUGAACAUUUUCAAUAAAAAAAAAGAAAAACAGC